rnacentral:pre_miRNA from 1 species
AGUGGGAUAACUGGGUCAAAUGGUGCUUCCAUUCCCAGUUUUCUGAGGAAUCUCCAUAUUGCUUUCCAUAGUGGUUGCACCAAUUUGCAGUCCCACCAGCAGU